UGUGUCGCUUUCUAAACAAAGGGAUGGAUGGAGAGGGGGUGGUUGUUGUGGUUGUGCCUUGUGUUUCUGUUCAUUCAGGGCAGGAAUGGGCCCACUGUGAAGAUUAUCUAGGGCCUAAACACUUUACAGGCAAGCCCUGGUCAGUCAUUGAGUGGGAGACCAGUAAGCAAUAUCAGUUCCUAUAUACAGGCUGUAUUUCAAAGGAUGGAACUGGCAGGCCUUAUCUGAGUCUUCCUUCCCUAAAGAAACUCCAUGAAAUUUAUGGGGUACCUUAAUAAUAAUAAUAAAUAAUAAUAAUAAAACUUUAUUUAUAUACCGCCCUAUCUCCCGGAUGGGACUCAGGGCGGUUUCCAAUCAUAAAACAACACAAACAUUACAUAGCAACAUAACACAUUAUUAAGCAAAGUAAAAUAAUACAAUUAUAGCAAUAAAUAACACUUACAUGACCUGAUCAAGGGGACGGGAACAAUAAACCCAAUAUAUUAAAAUGUAUCAUUUUAGGCUAGAGAAAUCUUGUGCAAUAUAUUCAGGCCCAGAAAUCGGCGGUAUUCCUAUGUAAUUAUUUAAAAACCUGCCGACACCACCAAGUCUUCAGUUCCUUACGAAAAUUGGAUAAUGUAGGGGAUUGCCUGAUCUCUUUUGGCAGUGCAUUCCAGAUCCGGGGGGCCACUGCCGAGAAGGCUCGUUCCCUCAUCUCCACCAGCCACACUUGAGACGGUAGUGGGAGCGCGAGAAGAGCCUCCCCGGAUGAUCUCAAGGUCCGCACUGGCUCAUAGGAGGACUUGGGCCCUCUGGGUGUUUGGGACUUCAACUCCCACAAUUCCUAACAGCCUCAGGCCCCUUCCUUUCCCCCCUCAGCUGCUUAAGCAAGAACAGACCACAGAACAACAGACUGGUUCAAGAUUGGGAAAGGAGUACAGCAGGGCUGCAUACUCUCACCCUACGUAUUCAACUUGUAUGCAGAACACAUCAUGCGACAUGCGGGGCUUGAUGAAUCUAAGGCCGGAGUUAAAAUUACUGGAAGAAACAUGAACGACUUUAGAUAUGCAGAUGAUACCACUUUGAUGGCUGAAAACGAGGAGGAGCUGAAGAGCCUUAUCACCAAGGUGAAAGAAGAAAGUGCAGAAGCUGGGUUGCAGUUAAAUGUCAAGAAAACCAAGAUUAUGGCAACCAGAAUGAUUGAUAGCUGGCAAAUAGAGGGAGAAAACAUGGAGGCAGUGACAGACUUUGUAUUUCUAGGCGCAAAAAUUACUGCAGAUGCAGACUGCACCCUAGACUCUGUAGCCCCACUCUCUUUUUUAAGUUCUCCUUUUUAUUUCUUUAACUCUAUAAAUUAGUUUUGCAUAUAUACGGGACUUCAGAGUAACUAACUUCACCAUACAUAUAUAGUGUUCCCUCACUACUUCGCGGUUCACUUUUCGCAAAUUCGCUGUUUCGUGGUUUUUCAAUAAACUCUAAAAUACUAUUAUAAAUUAUAAAAAAUUACAAUUUACAGCCUAAGGAAGGGAGGAAGGAGAAGCCAAAGGGAGAGAAAAUGUGCCCAAGUGGCAACAGGAGGAGAAGGAGGCGAUUUAUCAACACACAAUUGGUUGAUAAAGACUUAAAAUAGUGUAUAACUACUAAAAUCAUGUAUAAAUAUUAAAAUAAAUAUAGUGACCCUAUUUCGCGGAUUUUCAGUUAUUGCAGGUGGUCCUGGAACUUAACCUCAGCGAUAAGUGAGGGAACACUAACUGCAUCUUUCAAAAAUGCAGGCAUAUGGGACAGUUGGUGCUUUCAGCAUACUACAGUAAACCUAAAAGUUUGCUUUCCAGAUUACUGCAGGCUGAAGUUUUUGUGACUCUCUGCUUUAAAGAAAGCCCUACACUAACACAAGCUCGCAAAAAAGGACUUGCUCAUUCAGGAAUAAACUUCCAUUGCUACUGAAAGAUGCUUGUUUCAGUUGAAAAGCUUUUUAUAAAUUCCUUUCUGAUGUUUGUUUGCUUAACUGAACACACCUGGAGGUCACAAUGCUGUCAAUUACCAGAGAAGUAAGUAUUGAACCAGGUUUCCAGAAAGACUAAGUGCUUAACUUACAAAUCUAGCAUUGAAAGCUAAACAAAACUUAAGGGAAGAGUGAGUUUGAAAUAUACUAAAGCUUUUCUUCCUCUUGAAAAGUUGUAAAUGCUAGAAAAGACCCUAACUUCCUCAAAAGAAUGGGUCUGUAUGGGAUGCAGCCUGAUCCUAAGUAUGUUUUCUUCAUAACAGAGUACAGAGAACUCUCAUGAUUUCCAAAAUUGUCUUAUCAACAGAAGAGAAUCCCCCAACAAACAUGGCAAUUGAUGUUUGGAAACAAAAGCUUAGAAAAACCUGAUCUUAAGAUAUCUCAGUAAAGUUAAGGAACCCAUCUCUCUGCAAGUGCCUUCUUGUGGGUUCCCAUCGAGGCGUGACAUCUAAAGUACGACUCCCAAAAACAUGUGGCAACCUGGAAAGCAAACUGUGUGUUCAGUAACAACACACAGCAACCUCAAGGCAACUUCUCCACAUCUCUCUCCCUCUCCACCUGCAAAUGCACCACAACUUGAGGAUAUUGUCAAAUGGAACAUGUCCAGAAGGAGACAAUUAAGGCAAGGAAGCAGUAUCCAAACCAACACAUUCAAAUUACAAGAAAGAAGAUUCUGUCCAAACUCCUGAUGUUAAGAGGUGUUCAACAGUGGAAUAGAUGACCUCAGAAGGUGGUGGAUCCCAAAUUGUUAAUUUUUUAAAAUAAAAACAAAGUUGUCCUUUGUCA